GAUGAACGCUGGCGGCGUGCCUAAUACAUGCAAGUCGAGCGAACGGACGAGAAGCUUGCUUCUCUGAUGUUAGCGGCGGACGGGUGAGUAACACGUGGAUAACCUACCUAUAAGACUGGGAUAACUUCGGGAAACCGGAGCUAAUACCGGAUAAUAUUUUGAACCGCAUGGUUCAAAAGUGAAAGACGGUCUUGCUGUCACUUAUAGAUGGAUCCGCGCUGCAUUAGCUAGUUGGUAAGGUAACGGCUUACCAAGGCAACGGUGCAUAGCCGACCUGAGAGGGUCAACCGCCACACUGGAACUGAGACACGGUCCAGACUCCUACGGGAGGCAGCAGUAGGGAAUCUUCCGCGAUGGGCGAAAGCCUGACGGAGCAACGCCGCGUGAGUGAUGAAGGUCUUCGGAUCGUAAAACUCUGUUAUUAGGGAAGAACAUAUGUGUAAGUAACUGUGCACAUCUUGACGGUACCUAAUCAGAAAGCCACGGCUAACUACGUG
rnacentral:rRNA from 1 species